rnacentral:rRNA from 1 species
UACGUAGGGGGCAAGCGUUGUCCGGAAUCAUUGGGCGUAAAGCGCGUGUAGGCGGUUCGGUAAGUCUGCUGUGAAAGUCCAGGGCUCAACCCUGGGAUGCCGGUGGAUACUGUCGGACUAGAGUACGGAAGAGGCGAGUGGAAUUCCCGGUGUAGCGGUGAAAUGCGCAGAUAUCGGGAGGAACACCAAUUGCGAAGGCAGCUCGCUGGGACGUUACUGACGCUGAGACGCGAAAGCUAGGGGAGCGAAUGGG